UUGGAGGAACUGAUGUUGGUUUCUGAGGCAGGAUGGCCAACCAUGCAGUCAGCUAGUGUUCCUGAUGGACUGGGCUCGCUGUAGAACAUGAGAAAGCUUCUCUGGGAUGGGCCCUCUCUGAGGUUCUCCAAACUCUGUAUGGGACAGAUAGCUGCUGGCCUAUUGUAUCCACAGGUCUUACCAUGAGACGAUUGUCCAAGCAGAAAGUAAAAAUUUUUUCAGCACAUCAUCAGCUGUCAGUGUGG